AAAUAGAGAUGCACGCAAAUCUGGAAAGCAGUACUUAUAUUUUUCAUUGUGUUACAGUACAAAAUCCAGUCCAUCGGUGAUCUGUUAGCUGAGAUGGAAGGAAGUGCGAUCUGCAGAUCUCAUCUGUUGCUGCUGGUAUCACCUCUUGGACUUGCCAUGGGAGGAUGUUCUGGUGCCACAUGUGUUCUGCUUCUUACCAAUGUGCCACCUAGUGAGCUUGCAGAGAGUUAGCAAGCAGUUUCAAGCCCUCAUCCCGGUCUACUUGGCCAACUGCUGCUCUUUUGACCUCUCUCAGACUGAUGUUUGCAGGCUGGUCCUUGCAUACCCAAGCAAAUGGGGCUGGAGUCCAUCAACCUGAUUGCCUGUCGGCAGCUCAAAGAUGAGGCCGUCUGCUACCUGGCCAAGAAGUGCCUCAAGCUGAAGUCGUUGUCAGUGGCAGUCAACACAAAUAUCAGCGAUGUCUCUGUAGAGGUGGGGGCCAAGAACUGUCCUCAAAUGGAGCACCUGGAUCUCACUGGAUGCCUUAGGGAAAUAAUGAGUCCAUCAGGUUAUCAAGUGAAGUACAGCAAUUGAAGAUUCAUUCGUUUCAAAAGACGAAAGUUAUAUAUUUGUGCUGGCACAUGAGUAGAAAAUAUUGUGACUUGUUAAAAAUGCACUCUCAUUAGUAAAUAUAGUACAAAUGUACAGACGAUUUAAUCCAGCAUAGACUGUACAAGUUUAAUUGUAUCUUACAUUACCAGCAUUAUUUAUCGUUAAAUUAUCUGUUUAGAUAGCUCAUGACACAUGUGUAAUCUGUGUUAACAGUUCAACAUUCAUAACCCACUGCAGUGGCUUAUUUCCUUUGAACAUCGAUACACUGCCUGGAUGAUAAUGACAAAAUGGACAUUGACUUUGUGCAUGACACCCAAUGUGGCUAUUAAUGAGCAUUAUACUCUUGCAUGGCGCUGUGCAGAACUGCAGGGAUGUGGUCUUCAGAGUUAAUCAUUUUAACCUUACAAUGUAAACAGUUCAUUAUUUUAAAUAAAACAGCAUAGGUAAAACACUUUUUUUUUUUAAAACCUCAGAUUAACUACAAAUUACAGGAGAAGGAUGGACUGGGUGAAGUAAAUCAAAUAUGUGGCUACUUGGUUAUUUGGCGUUAAUUUAUUUUUUCUUCAUUUUUAAAAAUUGAUAUUUUUUAGGUUUGACUUUGUGAGUUGUGGUUUAACCAAUAAAAACAAAACAUUACAUUGAAGGUAUCUAAAA